GACGAACGCUGGCGGCGUGCCUAAUACAUGCCAGUAGAACGCUGAAGGAGGAGCUUGCUUCUCCGGAUGAGUUGCGAACGGGUGAGUAACGCGUAGGUAACCUGCCUGGUAGCGGGGGAUAACUAUUGGAAACGAUAGCUAAUACCGCAUAACAGUAGAUAUCGCAUGAUAUCUGCUUGAAAGGUGCAAUUGCAUCACUACCAGAUGGACCUGCGUUGUAUUAGCUAGUUGGUGAGGUAACGGCUCACCAAGGCGAAGAUACAUAGCCGACCUGAGAGGGUGAUCGGCCACACUGGGACUGAGACACGGCCCAGACUCCUACGGGAGGCAGCAGUAGGGAAUCUUCGGCAAUGGACGGAAGUCUGACCGAGCAACGCCGCGUAAGGGAAGAAGGUUUUCGGAUCGUAAAGCUCUGUUGUAAGAGAAGAACGAGUGUGAGAGUGGAAAGUUCACACUGUGACGGUAUCUUACGAGAAAGGGACGGCUAACUACGUG
rnacentral:rRNA from 1 species